rnacentral:lncRNA from 1 species
UUUUAUAACCGUUGAAAACUCUGAUUAUCAUAUCUUCUCCGGUCAACAACCCCUUGUUUUUUGUGGUCGUCUUCUUCAUCCUGGCAACGUUAAAUCGAACCCGAAACAUUCUUAUUUAAGGAUUUUCGAAGUUGCAAACCACCUGUUACCAUAUCUAUACCCCCAUAAGUAGUACAAUUCCCCUUCUCCACUAUUGGCCGCCCACCGUCGGUAGUCGAGCAGGUCAACGGCGACUAAAUGACUAGUACUGAGAAACAAAAUAAGUAAUGGGGUGUUGGGAUAGAGGGAGAGGUGGGUUGGUUUGCGUAUUAUUUCUUUCCAUGUGGUGGUUCUAAGUUUAAUAUAUAAUUUUAAUGUUAUUUAAAUAAAAAAGAGAUCAGAUGAUAUAAAUGGCCCUUUUAUGAUUAAGGUUUUAACGUCAGAUAUGAUGGCCUUAGAGCUAGGGGCUGAAAGCGUUAUCAAAAUAAACGUUGAGGCUUAAUAUGUCAAAAGAUUCUUUUUUUUACUAGAACAGUUAAAUUAAGUAUAUCACAGGGGCCAAAAACGUAAUUUAAUCUUGAAUGAGAUACAAUAGGAAAAAUAUAUAAGAAAGAUAAGAAGGAUUUUAGUUCAUUGAUAUCAGAUUUGAAGGGUUGAGAUUAAUUUUAUGGAAAAUAAGAUAGUAGAGGGGUAUAAAAGAAAUCCUAUAUUUAUUGACUCUCUCUCCACACGCAAGGCAUAUGCCAACCCCCCUCCCCAAACAAUUUAAAACGUCUAUAAUUUUUUCAUAUGACAUUUAAAAAAAAUCACCAUAAUAACAAGCGUUUUUAUCUGUAAUAUGAUUAUGAUAUAGAAAAACAAAAUAAAAAAAAUCAUUUUUACUAGGUUUUCUUUGCUUUAUGUUAAAUGUUCAGUCAUUGUGUCUUUUAACUGGGUUUUGGUCAUUACGUUUUACUAGGAUUUCUAUACUUUGUGUUAUUAUCAAACUUAUAAUACAAUGUUAACUUGGGUUAUGUACACUGCGUUUCUAUUAGAACAUAUAACACAAUGUAUGACAAUGAAGAUGGUUCUGCUACCCAUUGUGUUUUAA